AUUGAACGCUGGCGGCAGGCCUAACACAUGCAAGUCGAACGGUAACAGGAAGCAGCUUGCUGCUUUGCUGACGAGUGGCGGACGGGUGAGUAAUGUCUGGGAAACUGCCCGAUGGAGGGGAUAACUACUUGAAACGGUAGCUAAUACCGCCUAACGUCGCAAGACCCAAGAGGGGGACCUUAGGGCCUCUUGCCAUCGGAUGUGCCCAGAUGGGAUUAGCUAGUAGGUGGGGUAACGGCUCACCUAGGCGACGAUCCCUAGCUGGUCUGAGAGGAUGACCAGCCACACUGGAACUGAGACACGGUCCAGACUCCUACGGGAGGCAGCAGUGGGGAAUAUUGCACAAUGGGCGCAAGCCUGAUGCAGCCAUGCCGCGUGUAUGAAGAAGGCCUUCGGGUUGUAAAGUACUUUCAGCGGGGAGGAAGGGAGUAAAGUUAAUACCUUUGCUCAUUGACGUUACCCGCAGAAGAAGCACCGGCUAACUCCGUG
rnacentral:rRNA from 1 species